rnacentral:sRNA from 1 species
UACGUUACAACUUCCUAACCCAGUAAGC